ACAUUUUCCUGGCAGGGGCAAUACCGUGAUCACAAAAGUGGUUUUCCCAGGGUGAGGCUUAUCCAGUGCACUCAGGAUGUGCUUAUCCCUGCAAUUUCCCCAAAUGUGGGAAACUUGACUACAUAAUUUGUGGUAGUGGGGGACUGUAUUCAUGCUUUCUACUG
ensembl:snRNA U1 U1 spliceosomal RNA